UGACACUAUAUACCAUUACUUCAAUAGCCACUGGAACAGUCAUCAGCAAUGUCCUCAUAUCGAGCUUCCCUCAAUCCAAACUAGAGUCAGCUCAAUUCAAAAUCAGAUUCUGCUGAAUCCGAUGAUGGAUGACGAAAUCAUAGACACCCUCUCGUAGAUGGAAUCUGAUCGGGCCCCUGGUCCUUCGGGGUUCCCACCCACCGUUGUUCUUCAAAUAUUUUCGGUCCACCAUCAGAAAUGAGGUUUUUGCUGUGAUUCAAGAGGUUUUCAGAUUGGAAAAAAUGUCUCGUGUUGAGGUCUACGUGCCCAGUCGUACACACCCCAUCUCCUCCACCCAGCAUGAGGUAUUGUCCGCUCUGAAACAGUGCGUGCCCGCUACAGGGAACCACGACGCUGCCCCUCACGGUUUUACCCCGCAAAAGGCACCUCACAUGGAAGAAGGGGAGUGAUAAUACUUAAGCAGUAGAGUCCCUUGAUUGUAUUCGGUAUGGGAUUUUCAGGCUCAAUGCCCCCGAUGCCCA
rnacentral:lncRNA from 1 species